rnacentral:rRNA from 1 species
GACGAACGCUGGCGGCGUGCCUAAUACAUGCAAGUCGAACGGAGCUUUUUUAACUCGUGCUUGCACCGACUUAAACAACUGAGUGGCGAACGGGUGAGUAACACGUGGGUAACCUGCCCCAAAGCGGGGGAUAACAUUUGGAAACAGCUGCUAAUACCGCAUAACCACAGAAACCACAUGGACACUGUGUCAAAGAGGGUUUCGGCUAACACUGCAGGCUAGACCCGCGGCGUAUUAGCUAGUUGGUAAGGUAAUGGCUUCCACAGGGCAAUGAUGCGUAGCCGAACUGAGAGGUUGAUCGGCCACAUUGGGACUGAGACACGGCCCAAACUCCUACGGGAGGCAGCAGUAGGGAAUCUUCCACAAUGGACGAAAGUCUGAUGGAGCAACGCCGCGUGAGUGAAGAAGGUUUUCGGAUCGUAAAACUCUGUUGUCAGAGAAGAACGUGUGCGAGAGUAACUGUUCGUGCAGUGACGGUAUCUGGCCAGAAAGCCACGGCUAACUACGUGCCAGCCGCCGCGGUAA